GUUCCUGCUGGUUUUUCUGCUGAAGAACACAAGUCAAGGCCCUGAAUGUGCAACUCGGUGCUCUGGAAUCAUGGAGCAGUGGUCUGAGCAGUCAGCACAGAAGUACCAUCAUCCACUCAUCUUAUCCGCCAGGGCCAAAGACAAAGAAUACAGCAGAAAUUCUUCCCCAGAAUUUUGAAGACAAAGCCCAUGAUAAGGGGCUGGAGCCUGAAGAAGAGAGUUCUGGAGAUUGAAGCUGUGACCUCAUGCAUGCACACAAGUGAUCUUCCACGGAGCUACAUCCCCAACCCAAUGGCCUACAUUUCUGUGAGAGGCAUUCCUGAGCCUCUGGGGUAGCCAGAUCUGAGAGACAAACAAUGGGGACCAACACUGGACAUUGUGAAGCCAAAUGACUCAUCUCUAGGAUUGAGUCCCCCUUUGCUGGCAUGCUUGCGCCCUGCAGUGUCAAACCUUUUGCAGGCUCCUGUGCACAUGUGUAAGUGUGCAGGGGAUGGAUGUUGAAGUGACAGAGAACAUCUGAACAGCAACCUAGAUUGAAUAUUCCACUCACCAAGUAGAUGAGGUCCAGCUCAAAUUGAUCUUACUUAAAGAA